GCGGCGGACGGGUGAGUAAUGCCUAGGAAUCUGCCUGGUAGUGGGGGAUAACGUCUGGAAACGGCCGCUAAUACCGCAUACGUCCUGAGGGAGAAAGUCGGGGAUCUUCGGACCUCACGCUAUCAGAUGAGCCUAGGUCGGAUUAGCUAGUUGGUGGGGUAAAGGCCUACCAAGGCGACGAUCCGUAACUGGUCUGAGAGGAUGAUCAGUCACACUGGAACUGAGACACGGUCCAGACUCCUACGGGAGGCAGCAGUGGGGAAUAUUGGACAAUGGGCGCAAGCCUGAUCCAGCCAUGCCGCGUGUGUGAAGAAGGUCUUCGGAUUGUAAAGCACUUUAAGUUGGGAGGAAGGGCAGUAAGUUAAUACCUUGCUGUUUGACGUUACCAACAGAAUAAGCACCGGCUAACUUCGUGCCAGCAGCCGCGGUAAUACGAAGGGUGCAAGCGUUAAUCGGAAUUACUGGGCGUAAAGCGCGCGUAAGUGGUUCAGCAAGCUUGAUGUGAAAUCCCCGGGCUCAACCUGGGAACUGCAUCCAAAACUACUGAGCUAGAGUACGGUAGAGGGUGGUAGAAUUUCCUGUGUAGCGGUGAAAUGCGUAGAUAUAGGAAGGAACACCAGUGGCGAAGGCGACCACCUGGACUGAUACUGACACUGAGGUGCGAAAGCGUGGGGAGCAAACAGGAUUAGAUACCCUGGUAGUCCACGCCGUAGACGAUGUCGACUAGGCGUUGGGAUCCGUGAGAUCGUAGUGGCGCACGUAACGCGAUAAGUCGACCGGCUGGGGAGUACGGCCGCAAGGUUAAGACUCAAAUGAAUUGACGGGGGCCGGCACAAGCGGUGGAGCAUGUGGGUUAAUUC
rnacentral:rRNA from 1 species